UCGUUCAUGUCUGAGGAGGCAAUGGUGAUCAAGGAGCAGGAGGAUACGGUGUAAGAUGCGGUGGUGAAGAAUAUCACCUCUUCGAUCACUUCCGUCUACUUGGUGACAAACAGGACGCGAUCGGUUCGCUAACGUUCGCUAAGUCGUAAGAAAAACUCGUCGCUCAGCAGCAGCAGCGAGGAGAAUGUUUCCUCUCAAUAAUCGGGUAGGUCGGUGAUGAAAGAUGUUACUUUCACAAAGCGUAGUGAAAAGUUGGAUAGCAGCGCUGGAAACAGUGUCGAGUCGCCGGGUGUGAAGUACGCUGAAGAAAAUGACGCAGAUAACCUCUUGUGCCUUGUAACGAGCAGUCUGUGGCUAGGUCAGACUGCAUUAGCUUAACCAUGCUCGCAUCGUAGUUUGCGCUUGCAUUCUCGAGAUGGGUAUUCAGGCUGGACUGAUCGAUCUUACUUGUCCUGCGGCACCGAUAGAACGUAGCCCAAUUGCCCUCUGGCAUACGAUCCAGUGGAAAAAGUGUUCUAUGAAGCUACACGACGGAGUAAUUUCGCUGCACUGUCAUGGUACUCCUGCAGAGCAUCAGCAAUGACUGGACUGAAAUGUCCCACCUGCGUCUCGGUCUGCGAAUAACAUAUUUCCACAUCUCUCUCGAUUCAGCCGUUUGCACUGUACCAAAAACAACAUUGUGGUUCGAAGAUAAACAGAGAUGCGACUCUAAUUUUCUCGACCAGAAGGCGGAUUAAACAGCGAGUGGAUCAGCAGUAUGAAAGCCAACAACACGUUUACCCAGGGCCAAGCAAGAUUGUGAUGAGGCAGUUUAUCGAUUAUGUGUUAUUUGCAACCGUCCAGCAGGUUUCAACAACAAAUGCCGGAAGGUUUCUGCAUUGCUCGUAUUGACCGUGGUGGAGCGUUUGCUGCUUGUAGAGGCUAUGAUUUCGGAAACGAGACAGGACAUACAAGCCAAAAUAAUGCUGGAAAGCCAGGGUAGGCCAAUAUUUCCAUUGACUGUAUCGACGAGGGAUGAACUUUAUGCAAUGAUGAUGCAGACGCUCUGUUCGCCGCAAGAUGCAGCUAACCCUAUGAUACAGGACGAGCAGCAAGCUAGGAAGCAGGUUUACUCCAUGGUAGCUCGAUAAAUGCAGUGUUUGCGAUUUUGUUGCAUUCGAGUUCAUCGGGGAAGAUUAUCCUGUUUGCAAGCAAGACGGUUUUUGGAACACGAGAAGAAACGAUUCCAGAAAAACUGCUGAGAUUGUUAAAAUAAAUCCUCUGUUUGAAUUCGA